AAGGCAAAGAUGACAGCGGCCCUGCCCUACGGAGACGGUUGACACGCAUGCUCAUUUAGGUGAGACCGACUUCAUCCUAGGAAACUUUUCGGCGGGACAGUACAGUAGUCUAGUAACGAACCUGGACUCGAUCUACUACUGAACUAGGAUAUUGUGCUGUGUAAAUAAUUUGCAUUGAGGAGAGUCCAUCAGCUCACUAACACGGGUGAGGGACAGGGACCAAAGAGGAGGCUCUACAACAUGAGGAAAGACGGCGAUCCUCAAGCAGUCAGUCCAUGAGCCCACGUCUUCAGGCCAGGGGCCCGAGAGAAAUUUCCAGUGACAUGGAUCAACAGAGAUCCUCAAACAGUCAGUCCAUGUGCCACGUUCCAGCCAGGGACCAAAAGGGGGACUUUCGUCAUGGGGCCAGACAGACAUCCUCAAGCAGUAAGUUGAUUUACAUGGAUGCAUUCUGAAGUUGAAUUGAAGUAGUUAUAUUGUUGUACGCUGGCUACUAUUCAAUGUGUCAAAGUGAAAUGUAUUAAUUGUUGUCCCAUGAAAAAAUGAACUGUAUCAAAUCUCAAUGUAUCGUUCCAGGGAUAAGAGUUCAAGAAUGUUGUUGCAGGUGAAAUGAUCAUUGAAAUUUGCUGAUUCAAUGCCAUUUUUGUAUCUUUACUUUUUGGAGAAAUAGAGAGAUGCAUCCAGGCCACCCACUAGGAGGUGGGAAAUCGUACAAAGAGGUGGCUGUACCUGGCAGCAGACUGAGAUGGGGUGAGGAAGAGAAGCACAGACCAAGAACGGAAUGUCAGACAUUUGCCCUUUUUUAUGCCCAGCACACACAGACACACACACACACACACACACACACACACACACACACCAGCAUAUAAACAUGCACAUAGACACAGGCGCACGUGCACACACAUACACAGACUCUCAAACAAGAUGAGUCUCUGGUGAUGUUGGCAAAUAAUCUGAAUCGAUACACGCGGCAAUGAUUCCACCAUGGUGCCCCACCUACGCGAGUCCUGUCCUUCAGCAUUGACUUUCUCCCCAGGUGUGGUGUGCCUUCAUCCGAACCACAAUGGCAUCCCAAGCAGCAACAAAUACCUGCACGCAUGCAUGCUACGGUACACACACAAACACACUGGACUGUGAACUAGGUCAGACACACACACAUGCUCAAAGUAGCCAAGAUCGAAAAGGCUGCAUCGGUGGCUUGACUGCAUCCAUUUUUUGGAGGAACACCUUUGUCAAUUUGGAGGAACUUUAUUGUGGGAAGAUAUUUUAAAAUGUUGAUAGUCAGACUCUUGUAUACCCAUUCGCUUCACUUUGAUGUAUUUUGUAAUUGAGAUGAUUUAUGCCACAGUGCUGAAUUAACACAUCAUGACAAAGAUGUCGCCUUAAAAGGUAUGUUUGGUACCUGUGGGUCAAAUGUCUCAGGAGCUCCCUGACUGCAGAACGUCUCAGGAAAGGACUCAACUUUUUAUAUUGUAUGCCGGGUGCGAUUUGUCAGAAAACCAGAAAGGGGGAUGUGUUUCAGAUGUCAACAAUAUCAAUGGAGUUACAUUAAACUAUGAUUAAAAUCAUGUGGAAAAAGUGACAAUAUCAAAACCAGAAGAGGGGACAAUCUCCCUACAAACCGCACCCUGAUUGUAUGUAUUUUACAUGUUUGUACAUGAUUAAUACAUGUUCACAGAAGAAAAUACAAUGUACGACUGCAAGGUCUUGUGCGUUUUUCUCACCGAUAUCUUAAAGGUUUAUGCGUUACAAAAUGUUUAUUAUUUUGUUUAUUUUCUGAACUUUUUUUUUAAUAACUCAAAUGGAUAUGUUAAGAAACGUGUUUAUCUUCUGGUUUGUUUUUUGGAAAAUUCCAUUUAAAACAUGAAGGGAUAUUUUAAGAAAGGCUGUGAGUUUAAAAAAAAUGCAUUUUGAUCAUUUUGUUUUCUUGUUUAAAAUGUCAUACAUUUUCAAUUUCCAAAAUCUAUUGAAUGGAUGUAUGUUGUAGCCUACUAAAGAUAAUAAAUGGCCAAUUUGCAUGAU